CCUUCCCGGAGAAAAGGCUCUUGAGUGCGCUCAGCUCUCGUGUGAGCGGGGCCGUGUUCCUUCAGUGAGAAAAACAUAGAUGAUUAAGAGAAACAAGAGUGGGAGUUGGCGGAGUCUCAGACCAGAAAGGAUUUGAAGAGGACAGAAGUGAACCCACACGCGGCAGACUGUGCCCGCACAAGCGCAGGUAUAAAUGGCCUUUUCACCGAGACACAUCCCCCUGAAUUAAAGGAAACACCCAGCGCUGCCUCUGCUUUUCCCUCCUUUUCUUUGGAAAGCAUCCAGGAAAUGCCCCGGAGGCUCCAUUAAAAGCCCAGCACUGAGAAGGAUCAGGAAACAGAACCCCAGAGUCUCCCGUCUGCAUUCGCACGUUUCCCAGGAUUGCCAAACCACGGGGACACAGUUCCAGAAAAGGGUAAGAGACAAAGGUCAUCUUAUAAGCCCAGACGCUGUGUGCCAAUGUAGCAUCAAACAGACAUAUGUCAAGAGGUUGUGUCCCUGGUCACCCGGGCAGAUCUGUACUCGGUGGUCCUUCACAGCCACAAUAGUUGCCCCGAGCCCUCCCCACACCGUCAAGGACCACAUGUGCUCAGUUCUGCCGUCCUAGAGGUAGCCAGGUGGCAUCCCCCCGAGUCCCCAGACCACAGCUGCAUGGCAGUGAGUGACGUCCAGUUGGACCAGAGCUCUGUGCUGCAGCUGGAGGACCGCCAUGGCUGGCGGCCAGCAGCAUGGAGAAGCCGGAAUCACAGAAGCCAGCGUCAGGGUGGAAAUUAUUGUAAAAUGUCCUUCAGUGAGGGAGUGGGAAGGCGGCCAGUGCCCCUGCGUGCCCAGCCCACUUAAUCCCCCAGCAGCCCCUCUCCAGCACUCGCUCGCUCGCUCCUGUUGUCUGUUCUCCCCAGCAAGAGGCCUGGCGGGCAUUAAAGACUGAAUGUUCUAGAAGCAGGGCUUUGAUAGAUCUCUGCCUGAGAAACCCAUUACAGGUGCUCCUGAAGCGGGGGAGGGGUGGCAGGACAGAAGUGAGCCAAGGAGGUGUUGCAACUGUGCCCCUGAAUAGAGGUGUGGGCGCAGAGUGAACCCCGGGGUCGGUCUGAGGCACGGGUCCGGCAAGAGCAUCUGUUAGCUGACACCACUGUCGACGCGCUCUUCAUGAUGCCCUUCAUCCGGGGAGGCUAACUACACACACCUGCAUGCCUGUCAACUCCAAAUGGGCUCAGCGGGAUCUCCAGUCGGAACCUGACCUUACAGACGUCCAGCCACACCGGACCACCCAUGCUUUCCACGCUGCGUACCCCGUGUACACACUCCGCUGAUGCUCUCCUUGAGCCGCCUUCCUGUUUCUCUUCCUCACCUUGUCUUGCGUCUUCAUCUCUUCCUGCGAUGACUGGAGUGAGAUGUCUCCUCAUAGUUCAGGACAUCUGAAUACUUGGUUCCCAGUUGGUGGUGCUCUUUGGGUAGGUUUAGGGGGCAUGGCCUUGCUGGAGGAAGUGUGUUGCUGGGAGGGGCGGGCUUAGAGAUUAAAAGCCUGCUUCUAGUUCCCGAUGUGAGCUGUUAGCUCGCUGCUCCAGCAACCCUGUCAGCUGCCUGCUGCCGCAGCUCACAUCAUACAUUCCAGCCCCGUGGAAACCUAAGCCCCCAUACACUCUUAAGGUGGUUGCCUUUGUCGUGUGUCUUAUCACAGCAACAGAGAAGUAAUGAAUAUACUUCAUUAUUACAAAGAUCACUUGAAUUAAGCUUAACCAGUAUAUAGUCAUCAUACAAGGUGAUGGAUAUCAUGAUGUUUUAAUUCAAAUAUAUCUUAUACUUUGACAAUAUUCGCCUCCUAUUACCCUUUUCUGUCUCCCAGUCAGUCACCAUCAGCUUUCUGGAUCAUUCUUCGUCUCUAUGCCCUCCCCUCUCUCUGUGUGUGUGUCUGUUCUUAGUUUCCUAUAUGAGAGAAAAAUAUGCAUUUGUGUCCCUGAUUCUGUCUCAUUUUACUUAAUAUCAUGGUCUCUGUUUCCAUCUGGUUUCCCACAAAUGGUUUAAUUUUAUUCAUUAAUAUUAUCAAAACAAUUGUUCCUUCCCACCAUUCCUUACUCAAAAAUGCUCCCAGUUCCUAUGAACUAAUAUAGAAGUAUGUCUGGAAUCCAAUGUCUUUCAUCUUCUCUUAUUUCAAAAAAAUUUAAUUUCCCACAGUUUUA